UGGAUUGAGAAGUGGAAGAGUCACUGUGCA
rnacentral:piRNA from 1 species